AGAACUAUCGCUGAGAACAUUGUGCAGAAUGAUAGAGAAGCUAAGAAUACUAGCCAUCCACAAGACAGGCAUCUUGUUGAUAAAUAUCAUUUUUACAGUAGCCAUUAGAAAUAAUAGCAGGGGGACAGGUGAGCAUGCAAGUUAGUGUCAUCAUAAAUACAUAAAGCCUGAAAGCUAGCUGGGGGUUAGGGAAGGCAAGGAUGUAUCAGCUACUGCAGUUUUCUGGUCUCAAUGCUAAGCCCUUUUUACCUGAUCUGCCAUCACGCUGAAUAUCCACGUGGUACCAUUCCCCAUCAUUGGCCUUCUUCUGAGUGGCCUUCACUUUGAUGGUGCCAGAGCCCAUGUCAAGCAGCAAAUACAGGUUGCCAUCAAGAAGUUCCACAGCAAAGAAGUCAACUUUUGUGUUCUUUUGGCUCCGGACAUCUUUCCUUUCUUGAGGCUUCCCGUGAGUGAAGAGAAUCAGGCCGUUGGGCUCAGUGGUGCGAAAGUCAAAGGAAAUGGAGCCCAUACGUUUGGUGUUCCACUUGGGCAAGCUGAUGUAAGCCUCUGGGGUCUCAAAGUUGAUGGGAUCCAGUGUGGCCACGUUCUCACACUUGAACACAACUUCACCAUAGAUUUUCAUCUUGGUGUCUCCAAUCCGGGCCAAGCGAGACAGCUCUAGACGGAUGUCAUUAUUCUUAUAAACAACCUGUCAAAAGCCAAACAAAAGUGCCAUAUGAAUCAGUCUUGCAAAUGGUAUCAAUCCAUCACUCACUGGGCAUCCAGGAAAAGGAUCUGAAGAAGCUUCAGGAAAUAAUGGGCUGAAACAACAUGUGAAACAAAAGACUCAUCACAAAGAAAAAAAAGCAUUCCAAGAGACGGCUGGGGUAUGCAUAUUUUCUGAAUGAGCCUCUAUAUUGCCACUGCGGGCCUUUUGUCUUUCUCCUUGUAGCCAGUUUCUAGACGUCAGAAAGUUAUCAGUAUGAAUUUACCAACAAAAUUCAAGAGAGACUGAGUUGUACAGGUGUAAAAUAUACACAGAUAUUUAGUAAAGCAUCCUUGGUAAAAGGCCACAAACACCCUUAAUGGCCAUCAGUAAUAGAUGGCACACCUCUGUACAGGCAUGCAAUGCCACCUUUUAACAUUGAGCAUUGCCUUAGGUUUUUAUGCGUCCCUCCAAGUCAUUUUGUUAAGUAGAGUUAGGAGCAGGACAAAGUGAUAAUUGUAUUACCAUUGUAUAAAAAUGUGGAGUCAUAAAUACAUAGGUGUGUAUAAGCAUAAAGUACCUUUUGGGAAGAAUUAUGAGCUGUGAAAUUGUCAGAAGUGUGGACUUAUGGAAUUCAUAUUCAGGACUGGGAGACUUACAGUUUUACAAUGCCCUCUUGUUUUGUUUUAUUAUACAGAACCAUGUGGAUAUAUUACCUUAAAGAAUGAUUGACUGGGGCUGAAGAGAUGGCUCACUGGGAAAAGUGAUUACCACACUUUAAAGACCCAAAUUUGAAUCACUAGAACCCACAUAAAGCUGAACACGAUUGUGUGUUUCUGCAAUCCUGGUGCUUCUAUGGCAGGACAGAAGCAGAGUCAGGAGAAACGCUGAAUUCCAUGAAUUGGGUCAUCUGCCAUGUAUGUAAACAAACAUGAGGCUGAGUCUCAAACUAGGUGGAUGUUAAAGACAAAAACCUAAGAUUAUUCUUUCACAUUCACACACAUGCCAUGGCAUGAGCAUGCCUUAUUCACACACAUAUAAACACAUACAAAAGAUAUUUUUAAAGGUUGAGAGGAGUGCUGGUUAGGAGAGUGUGUGGGACUUUUUUUUUUAUAGUCACAUUAAAUAUGUCAUUGGUACUGAAACAAAGAAUAAUGCCCUAGUUUAGGCAACAGAGGAGAUUUACUUAUCUGAAAAUUGAAAUUUACAUUAAAAAGUUUAUAUG
rnacentral:lncRNA from 1 species